rnacentral:rRNA from 1 species
UACGGAGGGGUUAGCGUUGUUCGGAAUUACUGGGCGUAAAGCGCACGUAGGCGGAUCAGAAAGUUGGGGGUGAAAUCCCGGGGCUCAACCCCGGAACGGCCUCCAAAACUCCUGGUCUUGAGUUCGAGAGAGGUGAGUGGAAUUCCGAGUGUAGAGGUGAAAUUCGUAGAUAUUCGGAGGAACACCAGUGGCGAAGGCGGCUCACUGGCUCGAUACUGACGCUGAGGUGCGAAAGUGUGGGGAGCAAACAGGAUUAGAUACCCUGGUAGUCCCUGAGCGGGCU